GGUAAGCAGACAUGACGGAUGGGAACUGUCGACCUUUUUACUUUGUAUUUUUUGGGAGUAUCUGUACGUAACUUGAGUUUUUAUAUUUCAGUCAACUUUCCCUUUUACUCCACUACAUUUCCUAAAUAAAAUGUAUACUUUUACUCUGUUACAUUUCCCCUAAGCAUCUUCGUUACUCAUUACUAUUGGAAGCAAGCAGGUUUGGCGAAUUAGCUGCAUGUCAGAUCAUGCUACAUGCUACCUGCAACUACUAGGGAAGGAAAAACUGGAUUGUGUUCUUUAAAUCCUUUAAGUUGUGAAGACCUUGUUUUUCUUCAAGUGUAAUGUAGCCUCCAUUUUUAAGUUGGUGUACAUUUUAAGAGGAAUAAACUUAA